AUUCCAAGAACGAUGGCAACAGUUGUCAUGUCAUGGGACAGUGCCUAGAACUUCUAUGGAAACCCCAGUGCUACCAAGAUAGUCACACAAAAAAGAAAACCAGUUUUAAUGGGAAGUUAGAUAAAAUAAAGACGCAGUUUUCACCAAUUCGCAAGCCCGCUGGUGCUCUCUCCACUUGAGAUUCAAAAGAACCUCUCACCUGGACCCCUGUUUCUCCGAAGAGGAUUUCGAGAGCUCAGGAGUUCAGGAUGGGCUUUAGUACCACAACAGGGUCUUCCUAAGUAGGUGUGUCUGGCCUGAAACUUACAAGGCAAAGCAGGCGAGCCUUGAACUAGACAUCUGCCUGCCUCUACCUUUCAAAUGUUGGGAUGAAAGGCAUUUGCGAUCUCGGCCAGCGCUUUCUUCACACCUAUGCAGUCCACAGUCCUCCGCACUGGGGAUGAAUGGUGCCACUCGAAAGGUAUGGGUGGUCCCAUGUCAAUUAAUGUGACCAAGAUAAUGGGCCUCCAGCAUGUCCAGAGACAUCCCCAGUGAUUCCAACCUCCGUCAAGCUGUGUAAGUGCUUUGAGAGUUCAGGCCAUUUCAAGUUUCCCCCUCUCUGCUCCUUGCUUAUCGUUAUGGCGUUCCUCUACUUUUCCUGCCUCCACACCUGCCUCGUGCCACCAUGCUUCUCUGCUGUGGUGAGCUUUUAUCCCUCACCGUAACCCCAAAUAAAUGCUUUCUGCAAUAA